GUUGGGUUAAGUCCCGCAACGAGCGCAACCCUUGUCCUGUGUUGCCAGCAUGCCCUUCGGGGUGAUGGGGACUCACAGGAGACCGCCGGGGUCAACUCGGAGGAAGGUGGGGACGACGUCAAGUCAUCAUGCCCCUUAUGUCUUGGGCUGCACACGUGCUACAAUGGCCGGUACAAAGAGCUGCGAUGCCGUGAGGCGGAGCGAAUCUCAAAAAGCCGGUCUCAGUUCGGAUUGGGGUCUGCAACUCGACCCCAUGAAGUCGGAGUUGCUAGUAAUCGCAGAUCAGCAUUGCUGCGGUGAAUACGUUCCCGGGCCUUGUACACACC
rnacentral:rRNA from 1 species